rnacentral:lncRNA from 1 species
UGGAUUCGGCCUACAACUCCAUCUUGGGAAGGCCCACAUUAGCAGCGCUGCAGGCAGUAACAUUUAUACCCCACUUCAAAGUCAAGUUUCCGACACUGAACGGGAUAGGAGAGGUAAAAGGGGAUCUGGAUAUCGCCCGAAGGUGUUAUCGGAAUACCUUGAUUUCCUCAGGGGUCGGGGUUAGUAAGCAGAAACAAACGUUGUCCAUCGAGAUAGAGCCGUUCACCGAGGGAAGUAUGGAA